rnacentral:rRNA from 1 species
UACGGAGGGGGCUAGCGUUGUUCGGAAUUACUGGGCGUAAAGCGUGCGUAGGUGGUUUGUUAAGUCUGUUGUGAAAGCCCCGGGCUCAACCUGGGAACUGGCAAUGGAUACUGGCAAGCUAGAGUGCGGUAGAGGGUAGUGGAAUUCCCGGUGUAGCGGUGAAAUGCGUAGAGAUCGGAGGAACACCAGUGGCGAAGGCGGCAUCCUGGACCGGCAUUGACGCUGAGGCGCGAAGCCAGGGAGCG